rnacentral:lncRNA from 12 species
CCUAGUGACAUAGCCUGAAUUUACACCCAGGAAGUUUGAUUUUUACACACUCUUCUGAUAUCAUCGCCUCUACUUCUUUCAUUAUUUGCUAAUUGGUAGAACUAAACUAUAAAUAAAUAUGAGUGGUAGAGCCCUUACUCAUCCAGGAGAUGAUGGUCUUUACCUGCCUGUUUAUACAGGUCGUCUUGUGCAGUAACCGAGCCCUGGCUACGGAGCUGAACCACAGUCUCCGUUGCACAGCUGGCAGAGCACCAUGGCUCUGCCCCAGAGGCCCUUGAAGACACUGACAGAUCACUCCCCCACCUUCCAUCACCAUCUUGUUGGCGGUUGCAGCCUCAGGGAGGACAUGCCACCCUGGACCACACUUGAGCUGCCUCCUGGCAGGAAAUACUCCUAACUUGCCAGAAUUGUCCUCUCUCCUGAGGAUGAAAGAGUAAAUGAAGCAACGUCUGGAAAGUGACUUGAGCGUGUCAAAGGUAGGCGACGGAAU